rnacentral:rRNA from 1 species
CCUACGGGUGGCAGCAGUGAGGAAUAUUGGUCAAUGGGCGCGAGCCUGAACCAGCCAAGUCGCGUGAGGGAAGACGGCCCUACGGGUUGUAAACCUCUUUUGCCGGGGAGCAACGGGCGCCACGUGUGGCGCCACUGAGAGUACCCGGAGAAAAAGCAUCGGCUAACUCCGUGCCAGCAGCCGCGGUAAUACGGAGGAUGCGAGCGUUAUCCGGAUUUAUUGGGUUGAAAGGGUGCGUAGGCGGAGCGUAAAGUCAGUGGUCACAUUUAGGGGCUAAACCGCUUACCGCCAUUGAAACUGGCGCUCUUGAGUGGAAGAGAGGUAUGCGGAAUGCGUGGUGUAGCGGUGAAAUGCAUAGAUAUCACGCAGAACCCCGAUUGCGAAGGCAGCAUGCCGGCUUCCGACUGACGCUGAAGCACGAAAGCGUGGGGAUCGAACAGGAUUAGAUACCCGGGUAGUC